UUCCCCCAAAUUCAUUCUGCAGCUGUGCACCGCCAUGAACUGCAGCAACACACUGCCGUGAGUCACUGUAUGAGACAACUGUAAGUUCACGUGUGUAAC